UGUCCGGCCCGAACGAGGAUUUUGACGAAAACAUCAACCGCAGACUGCGUACCGGAGCCGACCGUGGAGGGGGGGACGGAGCCACGACGGACGGAACCGAUGGAUCCAGCGGCGUGACAGCCUCGUCGAUGGCGCUCGUAAAGUUGGAUAACGGUGUUCGGCCUUAGAUAGAGUCAGAAUUAACGGCGAUGACUGCGGUAUCACUUGUUAGAUAGAGACACAGAGAGGGGCCAAAGUGGACUCCCUCCCUCGGUAGAUCCGAUCCGCCCCAUGGAGGCUGACGGGACCUUUGCAGAGAGCUCCAGGCCCCGAAUGUCACCUGCGAAAGUCCCCGCCGGAGGACGAGGUUAAGUGGGGGGGAAACGACGCGCACAUCUGUCCGCGACUUUAUCCGACAACUUCUUGGAAAGGCUGCGGGGAGAAAGUUAGCAGGUGAUCGUUAGCAGCAGGAGGAGAGAUGACCAUCAGAGAUAUCACCUAGGUAGAGGUUCAGCACCGCCUCAGGUAAACUCCGGACAGGUAAACUGCGCAGCUUCACGGACUUUCUGGUUUCAUACAGAAAUAAGAAAAACACACAUCAGCAAGUUGACUGGCUGAUUUUUAUUUUUUAAUUUUUUUGGACUUUUUUCCCCCCCUCUGUCAUCAAGUGUCGCCUCUUUAUUCCAACAACCAUGUCAUUCAAAGACAACGCCUGUCGGAAAUUUCAAGCCAACAUUUUCAACAAAAGUAAAUGCCAGAACUGCUUUAAGCCGAGAGAAUCACAUUUGCUGAACGACGAGGACUUAAAUCAGGCAAAGCCUAUAUAUGGAGGAUGGUUGUUACUGGCACCCGAGGGAACAAAUUUUGAUAAUCCCUUACACAGAUCUCGGAAAUGGCAGAGAAGGUUCUUUAUCCUCUACGAGCACGGCCUACUGCGCUACGCUCUGGACGAGAUGCCCAGCACUCUACCCCAGGGCACGAUCAAUAUGAACCAGUGCUCUGACGUCAUCGACGGCGAGUCCAGGACUGGUCAGAAGAACUCGCUGUGCAUCCUGACCCCUGAGAAAGAGCACUUCAUACGGGCAGAGUGCAAAGAAAUCAUCAACGGGUGGCAGGAGGCUCUGACUGUGUACCCCAGGACCAACAAGCAGAACCAGAAGAAAAAGCGCAAAGUUGAUCCACCCACUCAGCAGUCUCUCUGUGACCUUACCUCCCUUUGUGUCUUCUCCUCUUCCCAUCAACUCCUUCCCACCCGAACCAUCACCCAGGAGCCUGGCCCUGCUAAGGUGACGGUGACCAGCAGCAGCACUGGGGGCAGCAUCCCCUGCCUGCCCAGCAGCAUCGCCAGUGCCGAGCGAGUCCCGAUGAGCCGAUCCAGUCUGUGGCAGGAGGAGAGCCGCUGGAGCAGAGCCACCAUCCCCUGCAGCCGCAGUGCCUCCUGCAUCAGCCAGCUGAGCCAGAGCCAACCAGACUCCAGUAACACCACACAGGAUGAUGCCAGCACUGUGAGCACUGGACGAAAGGUACGAGUGGAGAGCGGCUACUUUUCCCUGGAGAAGACCAAGUCGGAGCCUGCUCCACAGUCUGCACACCACCCUCAGCCACCCCAGCACCUUCCCUUGUCCACUUCAACAUCAUCCUCCUCUUUCGGAGCUCCCAGUUCCAGGUACAACUCUGAAUCCGAACCCCAAACUUCCCCUCACCACCCCUUGCAGGACCCUCUCCCCUCUCCAGGUGCGCUUGUUUCCCCGAGCUACUCCACCAUCAGCUCCUCCCAGAGCUCGCUGGACUCUGAUCCCAGCGGAGCUACAUCUACCUGGGAGGGACACGGUGGUGGUGGAGGAGGCUCCGAUAGCAUCGGCGGAGGCGGAGGCAGGAUCGGCCGCUCUGGCAGGGAGUACGCAGCGCUGUCAGACGUGCCUCGGGCUCGCAGGCUGACCUACAGAGAAGCUUUCCGCUCAGAGAAAAAGCGCCAAGACCUGAGGGCACGAACAAGAAGUCCUGGGAGGGAGGAGGUGGCUCGGCUGUUUGGGGAGGAGCGCAGGCGAACUCAAAUCAUCGGCCGGUUCGAGGAGGGUCAACAUGUUGAACGUAUGGACACAAGCAGCUCCAAUGAGCCCUCGGUGAACACAGUGUUAACCCAGAGACAAGGCCGCAGCGAGAGACGCUAUCUGACAAGCAAACAUGAGAUGUCACUGGAUUCAGCAAAAGACCGUUCAGCCCCUGAUGUGUCCAGCUCCAGUUUUGCCAACUUGAGAAGAGCCAAGUCACUGGACCGCAGAGUCACCGAGUCCUCCAUGACUCCGGAUCUGCUGAACUUCAAAAAAGGAUGGAUGACGAAGCUGUAUGAUGAUGGAAUGUGGAAGAAACACUGGUUUGUCCUGACAGACCAGAGUUUAAGGUACUAUAAGGACUCAAUUGCGGAGGAGGCUUCAGAAAUGGAUGGUGAGAUUGACCUUUCCACGUGCUAUGAUGUCAAAGAGUUCCCUGUCCAGAGGAAUUACGGCUUCCAAAUCCUGUGUAAAGAGGGAGUGUGCACGCUGUCAGCCAUGACCUCUGGAAUCCGUCGCAACUGGAUUCAGGCCAUUAUGAAGAAUGUGCGACCCACUAUCGCCCCCGAUGUCACCCGGAAAAACAUCUCUCUGAAACUAUCCGUUCUGAAGCCCAGAUCCAUCCCCGAUGAGAAGAUCAAAUCCCACGUGAUGCUGGAGCCGUGUCUACAGCCCGCUCCUCAGCCAAACGCCAGCCCUGAGAUCAACAAGUCUGACGUCCACAGACAGCCAGGCUCUGCUCCUCCCUCCGAGCCCCGGAAAAGCCGAGUUCGUGAGCGCAGACGAGAGGGACGCUCAAAGACUUACGACUGGUCUGAGUUCAAAAUGGAACAGACAGAAAAGCCUGUAAAAGAGCGAGCAGGCACCAUUGACCUCAGCUCAUCCUUCUCUACAACCUCUUCCUACUGCUCUCCCUCUUCUUCACCUUCUUCCUUAGCAUCCUCUCCUGUCUCUACCUCCUCCCUCCAAACCUCCUCUGUAUCAGGUGCUCACCCACCGUCCACAACAGAAGAGGCAGAAAAGGAGAAUGUCAGGAGGGGUGUCCACCCUCACAGCACCACCAGUGCGACUCACAUGCCAAAUACUGUUACUGUUACUGUUAUUUCAACGCUAAAUGCUACACCAUCGGUACAGCCGUCAACGCCUGAAAGCCCGGAACAAGGAAAGAUGGAAGUAGACCAUCCUGCUGCCAUGUCUUCAGAGAGGGAAGACAAGAAGGGCAAUAGAUCUCCAGAUGUCCAAGUAGAGAUUGAGCAGCGAUGGCAUCAGGUGGAGACGACGCCAUUAAGAGAAGAGAAGCAAGUACCCAUCACCACAGCUUUAGGAAACUCGAGUAACUCGGACAGAUUGCCUGCUCAUGAGCUCGCUGCGCUGCUAGACAAAGAGUUGGGACAGAAGCAGAAGGAGCUGGACCGACUACAGAAGCAGAACAACCUUUUAAAGGAGCAACUGGAAGAUGCACUCGGGAGAGAACAAAGUGCCAGAGAGGGUUAUGUACUGCAGAGUGCAACACCCCCUUCCUCCUCACCGCACAAAGUGCCAUGGCAACACUUGCACGAGCUUAAUCAAGAUUUACAGGGCGAACUGGAGUCCCAAAAGCGGAAGCAGGACCUUGCUCAGCAGCAGAUCCGGACAUUAAAGAGAAGUUACACUGAAGCCCAGGACGCUGUAGACCGGCAUGAGAAUGACAUUCAGGCACUGCAGGCUAAACUUGCAUCUGCAAUGGCUGAAAUCUUAGCUAGUGAACAGGCUGUGGCCCGAAUGCGGAAUGAGCUCAAGCUAGAGCAGGAGCGCUCAAAAGAACAAGAAGUGGAAUACGGCCGUGGUGAGGCCACCUUACGAAGCCAGCUGAAGGACAGCGAAGAUAGACUCCGUGAAGUCGAGGCCAACCUCCUAGAGAGAAACCAGGCCCUUCGGCACUUAGAGCACCAGCAGGCCCUGCAACGAGACCACAUGAGGGAGAUACAGAGGUUGCAGGAGAAGCUGCAAGAGGUGACAGCUCGACUAAAUGCUACAGAAGAGGGUCAAGCACUGAAGGAGGAGCGCCUGAGGAAGGAGCAGAGCAGCAUGCAAGAGAGUCAUGAGAGGGAGAGGCAGAAUCUGUGUCGAAGAUUAGCUGAGGCUGAAACUGCACAGAAAGAAACAGAGGACAGGCUGUUGGAGGCUGAGCAGCAGGUGGAGGCCUUGUUGAGAGGAAGGCGAGCUUCAGGAGGUAAAGAAUGCAGAGAGGAAAUGCUGAAGUUGCAAGAGCAGCUGGCCCAAAAGACCAACAUGGUGGAGUCGCUGAGGGAAAGUGUGCGCAGGCUGGAGGAAGAAAAAGGCCAUCUCACAUGCCGCUGUCAAGAGCUUCUCAACCAGAUCGCAGAAGCCGACCGUGAGGUGAACAAGCUCCGCAAUCGCCUGGAAACGGAAGAAGCUGAUUACUGCACCCUGGAGCACUCGUAUGAGAGGGCUACUCAGGAGUUUCAGAAAAUGAGCCAGUUCCUCAGAGAAAAAGAAGAAGAGAUCCGGCAGACUAAGGAGAUGUAUGAGAGGCUAGUGGAACGUAAGGAAGAGGAUCUAAAGGAAGCACUUAUUAAAAUGACUGCACUUGGCAACAGCUUAGAGGAAACGGAACAGAAGCUGCAAGCUAAAGAGGACCUUCUUUGUCAAAUGAGUCAAAGCCUCUUAGAUAAGGUUGAGCCUUGUACUGCUGAGAAGGAGCUGAAAGCCAAGCUGGUGGUUGCAGAGGACCGCAUUGCAGAGUUAGAACAGCACCUCAAUGCCCUGCAGCUGGGAUAUGCUGAUCUGCACAUGGAAAGGCAGCAAAAUCCAGAACAGAGCAAGAAGGGAAGAGUUAAAACAUCAUUCUCCCUGUCAUCAACCACAAAGCAAUCACUUUCUAUUGACAAUGCAGCCAAGACAGAGAUCUCCCCAGAUGAUAAGGAGUCUCAAGCAAAGAGACCAAGGAUCCGUUUCUCCAACAUUCAGUGCCAAAAAUACAUCAGUCUUGAGGGCCUGGACUCUAGCCAGGUGAGCAGUAGCUUUGUAGAUGCAGGACAGAAAGAUAAGCAGGACACAAAUAAAGACAUUGAAGGAAACACCUCGGAUAUGUCAUUCCCACACUCUAGUGACCCAGAGAAGUUUAUCUCCAUCAUACACGCCCUAGAGACUAAACUGCUAGCUACUGAGGAUAAGCUGAGAAACCUCACACAGAAUCUAGAGGUGCAAAGAUCCACCCAGGCAGAGGAUAUCUCUGAGACUGAUCUAAAUAUGACAGAUAAGACGCCCUGUCCAGAGACAGAGAGUAGUGAUGGAAGUGGGAUACAGAGUAGUGCCGCCAUUAAGCAUUACACCGAGGCCCUGGUAUGUGUAGAAAAUAGUCGAGAGAAAGUAAGGACUAUUCUCAGUGGCUCUCAUGAGACCACUGAUUCACAGCUGCACUCGUUGUCAGAGAUAGAAAAUGAUUUGUUCAACGCAUCGCUGCACAUUCGUCAAGGACAAAAGACAUUGGAGGAGCAAUCACCAGCUGUCCAUCAGAAUCCAACCCCAGAGACUACAGAUAAAGACGCAACUCAUCUCUUUGCCAAAACCUUGUCUUUUGAGGCGGUAGUGUUGAACAAGAUGGCUUUGUUGAUACAAACCUCAAAGUCUGACCUCCUACAAGCUCUAGCAGAGAUAUGGGAAGGCAUAGAGCACAUUAAAAGGAGCGACAAAGAUUGUUUGGCUGUAGUUUACGCUGAUGUCUUGACCAGAAAGUUGAUGUUAGAAAGUGCGUUCUGGAAUGAACUGGAGAAAGCUGAGACAGAUGUUGCUAAAUCCAAAGAGGGAAGUGUAGUAGCUGAUGUAGAUGUCGAUGCCUCACUUGUUUUUAACACUGUCAUUAAAGCUGAACUAGUCUACUCGAUUCAAAACCUUAAAGUCUGCUAUGAGGAGAAAUUCAAAAUACUGAAAAGGGAGUUGACUGAAGCCCACAGUAACCUUCAUCAAAGGGAAGUGGCUCUGAAAGCAAUUAUUGAAGCUUCCAAGAGCCCUGAUCUAAAAGCUGUAAUAAAAGAAGUGAAAAAUAACUUUGGGUUCAGUAAACAAAAGCUGGCUGACAUUCGCCCCCCUGAACUUGCCCCCUACAUGGAGCAGAUCGAAACAGAAGAAGCUAGAAACUUGGCUGAGGAGAUCGUAGACAGACAGUUGGCUGCGGAAAUGCCCUCUUGUGGUGUUGACUCUGUUCAGUCACUGCAGAAUGCUCAUGAGAACCUGGCUAAUGAGCUUCAGAGACAAGCAGCCAUCCUCCAUCAGUACGCUCAAGAGAUAGAAAGCGGCGGAAACCAUCCUGGAUUGUCGAAAAUGAUCCACGCUCUGUUAGGGCACCAAACUUCUCAAAAUUUCACCAGUACCUCUCUUUGCAUGCGUGAAGCUCUAAUCCAGGCUCAGGUGGCGUAUGUAGCGUGUAGGCUGAGGGCCAUGCACGAACAAGAAAUGGGCUGGUGUAAACAAACCAGUCAGAACAUGGAUGCUCUUGUGCAGCAGCACGCCCGCAAUGUCACGGCAAUCCAAGAAAAAUACGAAGCGUCUUUACAAGAGGAGCGCCUGAACUUCACGCAAACGGUGGCCACCCUCCAAAAGGAGAAUCAAACGCUGAAGAGUGAGAUCAGCAAACGUGUGAACCAGCUCUCCCAGCAGCAGGAGCAAGCGACACUCCUGGAGCAGCAUUUUCAGAAGGAGGCAGAAGAAAUGAAGCAGAGGCAUAAAAAAGAGCUGAGCCAAGCAGAGCAAGGCCGGGCCUCGACGGAGCUGGCCCUCAUGGAGACGGCAGCAGACAGUCAGAGGAAGCUGGAGGUUCUCCUGGGAGACAUGGACACUAUGGAGGAGCAGCACGAGAGUGAUGUGAGGAAGCUGGAGGAGCAGUUUGAACAGAGGAUCUGUGAGCUGCAGCAUAUCCACAGAGAGGAGAUCGAAAAGUUGCAUUCCCAGUAUGUGGAAAAUGUUCAGUGUCUCAAAGAGCGGGGCAAAAAAGCCUUCGAGGUCUCACCUUCACCUGCUUGUGACGAGGCUGCGACACCAAUGGAGGAGGAGGAGCAGGGGAAGGGGGAGGAAGCACAGAACAUGUCAGAGGUGGACUCCAUGGUGCUUCUGAAGGACCGAAUCCAGGAGCUGGAGACUCAGAUGAAUAGCAUGAGGGAUGAACUGGAGAACAAGCACCUUGAAGGAGAUGUGGCCAGCCUGAGAGAGAAAUACCAGAGAGACUUUGAAAGUCUUAAGGCCACAUGCGAACGUGGCUUCGCCGCAAUGGAGGAAACACACCAGAAGGUGAUUGAAGACCUCCAGAGGCAGCACCAGAGGGAGAUUUCCAAACUCAUGGAAGAGCGAGAGAGACUAUUGGCGGAGGAGACCGCUGCCACAAUUGCUGCUAUUGAAGCUAUGAAGAAUGCACACAAAGAGGAACUGGAAAAGACCCAGCGCUCCCAACUGAGUGGACUGAACUCUGACAUUGAUGAACUUCGCUUACAAUAUGAGGAGGAGCUGCAGUCCAUCCAGAGGGAGCUGGAGGUGCUGUCAGAGCAGUAUUCUCAGAAAUGUCUGGAGAACGCUCACCUGGCUCAGGCGCUGGAGGCCGAGAGGCAGGCCCUCAGGCAGUGUCAGAGAGAGAACCAGGAGCUAAACGCUCACAACCAGGAAUUAAAUAACCGAUUGACUGCAGAGAUCACUCGGAUGCGCUCCUGUUUCAGCGGUGAAACAGCUCUGUCACCACUUACCAAGGGCAAAGAUGUGUAUGAGCUAGAGGUUUUGCUACGAAUAAAGGAGUCAGAGAUCCAGUAUCUUAAACAGGAAAUCCACUCUUUGAAAGAUGAACUACAGUCUGCUUUAAGGGACAAGAAAUAUGCCACAGACAAAUAUAAGGACAUCUAUACAGAACUGAGCAUUGUGAAAGCAAAGGCUGACUGCGACAUCAGCAAACUGAAGGAGAAGCUGCUCAUCGCCACAGAAGCUUUAGGUGAGAGGACUGUGGAUGGAACAGUUACAUCUGGAUAUGAUAUCAUGAAAUCAAAGAGUAAUCCAGAUUUCAUGAAAAAAGAACAAUCAUCAGGUUCCAAGCAGUCAAGAGGUCUAAGGUCAAAGUCUGUCACCGAACAGGUCUCAUGGGAUAGCUGACACUCCCAUUGUGGGGUGAUCUCCCCCCUCAGCCCCCACCCCAAGAUGUGCUAGCCUGAAAGAGGGAUUAACCGUGCAGGAACGCAUGAAGCUUUUCGAGGCAAAAGAUUCCAGGAAGAUUUAAUUACCAGAAAACUGAAGUUUCUUUUCUGUUACCUGGCCUUGGUUUUAAUGGUCUGAUGGCCACGGCCUUGCCAGCAUCAGCUUAAGACUCUCAUAGGAAAUGGAGAAUAAAUAUCUAUUAAGGUCAGCUCUCGACCUGGACCUACUGCUUCCAUGCAUCUGAUAAGUUGUCAUAUUUUAGUUUGAUUUUCUUUUUUUUAAGUAAUGAAAACAGAUUUACAGAAUCAAUCCUGUGUACGGUUUCUUUAUAAUUACAUAGAUGUAUAAUCUGGCCAAGUUGGAGUUGUGUCAAAUAAGCUGUGAGAGGAAUACAUGACAGCAUUUAUAUUGAUCCUCCAAAAAUGCCAAAACAGACAGCAAUACACAGUAUGAAUAAUAUAUAUUUCCCAAUAUGAAUUAAGUAUCUGCUGUAUUUUAUUAUUGUUACAGUGUAUAUCUAAUAAUUUUUAAUGUUGCACCAGUUCUGUUGUACAUAACUACUGGAUAUGUGUAGAAUAUGGUUUGCUAUUGAUUGUUGGGGCAUCUGCUGUACUAUAACUAUGGUUUGAUUGAUAGUGGAAAACAAUGUGAUGCUUAACUUGCUUAUGUAUGAGAGUUUUAUAAAAAUGGAGUGUCUGUGUGUGAAGGGGGGAAGGGUUGGGGUGAGAUUGCACUUAUCACUUGACUACUUGAGGAAGCUUGUUUUUAUUUGUCUCAAAUCGGUGUAGUGACUUCAAGUCAAUUAUUGCAGUGCAACCAAACAUCCUGACUCAAUGUCAUACUUAGUGAACAACUUGUUAGUGAUACUGGAUUUUUAAAGAUUUCUUAAAACCUGACUUUGUGUUUGUUCAGUUUUGACUUUGGUGUGAGAAUAUCAUCUCAUAAAAAAAUACUAUUUCAGAUUUUUUGCAUGACUGUACAGUAUAAUUUGAACUGCAGAAUGAUCAUGUUGCCUCAUUUUCCUACUUUAUGCUUUAGUGUGGAACUCUUAACACUAAUAAGCUUUGCUUUGCAAGUCCUACUGUUUAGAUGUUGAGAUUGAAAUGUUUUACUGUAAGCAGCAGUCUUGAAGCACUUGGCCCAGUCCCUGACCUCUCACUGAAAUCUAGUCGUGCCUCAACUGAGUGAAGAAUAUAAACAUCCAUGAAACCUGUGCAGCUAUGGAUACACACUGUAUAGUAUUCAAACCACGCCUUGUAUAUAUAUAUAUGCCACACAGAAGACUUCUGUGUUUUGUUUUAAACUUGUACCUUGCUCACUAGCUCUAUAUGAAAUAUAUAUGAAUAUUUUUUAUUUUCAUUUGAAUGUAUAACGUCAAAUAAAUGAAGUGUUUGGAAA